rnacentral:misc_RNA from 1 species
GCCACCCCUAAACAAUCCAAUGUUAUUCAUUUCAAUAGAAUUUUAUCUCAAAAUUCUCAGCUCUAAUAAUUCUUGAACUACAAACACACAUUCAUAAAGUUCCCAUGAAUUGUGAUGAAACAAAAAUCCCUAAAACUAAGAAUGUCAUUUGUGUUUAACUAACCCAAAAACCCUUUUAUCCAGCCUGAAAUUUUGAGAUAAGCUUUAUGUGAGUUGACUUUGGUCAAGAAAAUUCACGGUGACCCAAAUUUGGUCAAAUAAAAUGAGGCACAAUAAAAAUUUGGGCCAAGCUUACCUUAGAUCUUUUUGACUUUGGCCUGGCUCAAAUGUAAAGUACAAUGUGUGCUUAUGUGUGUGUGCAUGUAGAUUUCAUUAUUUAUUUACAUACACGUAUUAAAAUAUAAAGAAAACAUUUCAAAUUUUAAAAGAAACCCAAUAUGUAAAUGUACCAUGGAACCUCCUGCAGCUGUA